rnacentral:rRNA from 1 species
UACGUAGGGGGCAAGCGUUGUUCGGAAUUACUGGGCGUAAAGGGCUCGUAGGCGGCCAACUAAGUCGAACGUGAAAUCCCUCAGCUUAACUGGGGAACUGCGUCCGAUACUGAUUGGCUUGAAUCCGGAAGAGGGAUGCGGAAUUCCAGGUGUAGCGGUGAAAUGCGUAGAUAUCUGGAGGAACACCGGUGGCGAAGGCGGCAUCCUGGGUCGGUAUUGACGCUGAGGAGCGAAAGCCAGGGGAGCAAACGGG